rnacentral:tRNA from 2 species
GCGGAUGUGGUGUAGUGGUUUGCAUUGGAGCCUGUGGAGCUCUAGGCCCGGGUUCGAUUCCCGGCGUCGGCC